rnacentral:tRNA from 1 species
GAAACAGUCUGAAACAUACUUUAAACCGGGGGGCUGGGCCUUUUUUAAAAUAAGCCCACACCCACCAAUUGUUGGUGUGCUGCGUGAUCCGAAACGGGGCCAUAACUCACCUGGGAGAGCGCCUGCUUUGCACGCAGGAGGUCAGGAGUUCGAUCCUCCUUGGCUCCACCAUCUAAAACAAUCGUCGAAAGCUCAGAAAUGAAUGUUCGUGAAUGAACAUUGAUUUCUGGUCUUUGCACCAGAACUGUUCUUUAAAAAUUCGGGUAUGUGAUAGAAGUAAGACUGAAUGAUCUCUUUCACUGGUGAUCAUUCAAGUCAAGGUAAAAUUUGCGAGUUCAAGCGCGAAUUUUCGGCGAAUGUCGUCUUCACAGUAUAACCAGAUUGCUUGGGGUUUAUAUGGUCAG